GAUCCUGGCUCAGGACGAACGCUGGCGGCGCGCCUAACACAUGCAAGUCGGACGAGCGAGAGAGAGCUUGCUUUCUCGAGCGAGUGGCGAACGGGUGAGUAACGCGUGAGGAACCUGCCUCAAAGAGGGGGACAACAGUUGGAAACGACUGCUAAUACCGCAUAAGCCCACAGCUCGGCAUCGAGCAGAGGGAAAAGGAGCAAUCCGCUUUGAGAUGGCCUCGCGUCCGAUUAG
rnacentral:rRNA from 1 species